UACGUAGGGGGCAAGCGUUGUCCGGAAUCAUUGGGCGUAAAGAGCGUGUAGGCGGCUCGAUAAGUCCGCUGUGAAAGUCCAGGGCUCAACCCUGGAAGGCCGGUGGAAACUGUCGGGCUAGAGUCCGGAAGAGGCGAGUGGAAUUCCCGGUGUAGCGGUGAAAUGCGCAGAUAUCGGGAGGAACACCAAUGGCGAAGGCAGCUCGCUGGGACGGUACUGACGCUGAGACGCGAAAGCGUGGGGAGCAAACAGG
rnacentral:rRNA from 1 species